GUAUUUUAAAUAUUUUCUCUACACUUAAAUCUAAUUCUUUUCCUUUUAUUUCAUCAAAUAUAUUACUGUCAAAUAUUAUUUUCUGUUUCGUUCCUUCAUCAUUUAAAUAUUCUUCCUUUGUUAUUAUUUUUAUAUCUUCUUCAAUCAUUUGAUUCAUCUAUUUCACUAUCUAUUUCAUUAUCUGUUUCAUUUUCUGAAAUUUCAUAUAUACUAUCUUCACUUUCUAAUUCAUAAUCUAUAUAAUCUAUCUGCAUAUAUUCGGUAUUAUCUAUUUUUAUUUCUGAUAUUUGUU
rnacentral:lncRNA from 1 species